GUUGGGUUUUUAUAACCGAUUGUGUCAUCAUUUCCAUUGUUAUGAUUGUCCCUUCUUUCCUCUUUGCAGGCGUUUGAAGCAGGCGGCAGUAGGUGCGGCGCAGCAGUUGGUGGCUUGCGGCGCUGGUCAGAGGCAGGGUGGGUAGCUGGCGGCAUCUAGGGUUUCAGAAAAUGAAACCCUAGUUAGAUAUUUUUUAGGGAAAUUGGGCCUGGCUAUUGGGCUUCGGGUUUGGGUGUAAAUGGGUAAAUUUGGGCUUGGUUUUGCUGGGUUAGGUCUGUUAGGGGCUAAAUUUGGGUUGUUGGGCUAUUCGGGUUUUGUAUUGUAAUUGGG
rnacentral:lncRNA from 1 species